rnacentral:rRNA from 1 species
CUAAGUAUAAGCAAUCAUACGGUGAAACUGCGAAUGGCUCAUUAAAUCAGUUAUCGUUUAUUUGAUAGUACCUUUACCUGGAUAACCGUGGUAAUUCUAGAGCUAAUACAUGCUAAAAACCCCGACUUCGGGAGGGGUGUAUUUAUUAGAUAAAAAACCAAUGCCCUCUGGGCUCCUUGGUGAUUCAUAAUAACUAAACGAAUCGCAUGGCCUUGCGCCGGCGAUGGUUCAUUCAAAUUUCUGCCCUAUCAACUUUCGAUUGUAAGAUAGAGGCUUACAAUGGUCUUAACGGGUAACGGAGAAUAAGGGUUCGGUUCCGGAGAGGGAGCCUGAGAAACGGCUACCACCUCCAAGGAAGGCAGCAGGCGCGCAAAUUACCCAAUGCUAAUUCAGCGAGGUAGUGACAAUAAAUACUGAUACGGGGCUCUUUCGGGUCUCGUAAUUGGAAUGAGUACAAUCUAAAUCCCUUAACGAGGAACAAUUGGAGGGCAAGUCUGGUCCAGCAGCCGCGGUAAUUCCAGCUCCAAUAGCGUAUAUUAAAGUUGUUGCCGUUAAAAAGCUCGUAGUUGAACCUUGGACCUGGCUGAUCUGUCCUCCUCAUCGAGCGCACGGAUUCGGUCGGGUCUUUCCUUCUGGGGAACCCGAUGCCCUUUACUGGGUGUCGCGGGGAACCAGGACUUUUACCUUGAAAAAAUUAGAGUGUUCAAAGCAGGCAUUUGCUCGAAUACAUUAGCAUGGAAUAAUAGAAUAGGACAUCGGUUCUAUUUUGUUGGUUUCUAGGACCGCUGUAAUGAUUAAUAGGGAUAGUCGGGGGCGUCAGUAUUCAAUUGUCAGAGGUGAAAUUCUUGGAUUUAUUGAAGACUAGCUACUGCGAAAGCAUUCGCCAAGGAUGUUUUCAUUAAUCAGUGAACGAAAGUUAGGGGAUCGAAGACGAUCAGAUACCGUCGUAGUCUUAACCAUAAACUAUGCCGACUAGGGAUCGGACGGUGGUUUUUUUAUGCCCCGUUCGGCACCUUACGAGAAAUCAAAGUUUUUGGGCUCGGGGGGGAGUAUGGUCGCAAGGCUGAAA